AGGUGGCCGGGAAGAUGAGCGGCACGUAGACCAGCAUGUAGACGAUGGACAGCCAAUCCACCUUGUCAUUGCUCACCCGGUAGAAGUGCGUGAACACGUUGGCCACGAUCCCGUACUGGAUCCACUGGAACGCGUUGAUGAGUAGCAUCGCGUCGCGUUCGUCCGCAACCUCCUCCGCGUCCCCGGCGCCGCGGGACCCGAGGCUGCCUUGGAGCGCCUCCUCCUCCAGCUUGGUGAUGCGGUCAGGUGGAAAGGCGGCAUCCGCGGCCACGUGCUCGUGCGCCAGCUCCGCCGCCACCAUUGCAUCUAUUUUUUUUCCUUUUUUUUUUUUGAUUAAAUCAACAGGAAGCGGCGUGCUUCCUUGUCACGACGGUACAUCGAGUGAGCCGACAAUUUCCUGGCAGAGGAGGCCCGCCUUGGUUCUUUGUUAUUGGAGGAGGAUGGCCCCACGCCGCCUAAGCCAAUGAGAACAGCAGUGGCGAGACACGCACUCGCUCACGCGCAAGGUUGAACUUGAUAGGAGGAGGAAGUGUCAUUUCUAUCAUCAGGUAUUGUCCAGUCUGUGUGCAGGUGUUCCUUGUCCUGCACAGCUUCAGUCCAGACUGUGCAGAAGCUAGGGCUGCUAAUUUCUAGGCAGACAAUGUCAAUUGAAAGCGGGAGCUGCUCCGUAUGCCCCCGACAUUGGCUAAUCCUAAUCCUGACUGGCUCGUGUGCCGGGGAAUCCUUUGAGCCCGUCGCCCCUGCAAAGUCUCCUGCAAUGGAGGCCUCAAGAGCUUUGCCGUCCGGCACAUGACAGCAAGUCUACACAAAGGCCCAUCCAACUUUGUCAUUGUCGUGGGGCUCCUCAGGUGUCUCAGCGCCAUGGCAACGGCGGCAUCUCCAUUCCGGGAACAUAGAAUGUGGGCCGGAAACUUUCCAAAACAAACAAGUGCAACGGGGCGGAGAUGCUCCAGGAUGUCGACGGGCUGCCGGGCGGAGUCGGACGCCCGCAGAGCCUGGGAAAGAGUCCGGGGAAAAGAUUUGCGGGCGCACCUGCGCUGCAGCCCGGACUGACUGUCUGACCUCUGACACACAAGGCUUCCUCAGCACCACAGCCUCCGUUAUCUCCCCUUUCACAUAGUGCCGCCACGCUGAUCCUUUACAACAACAAGCACCAUAUUUGACAUUCCUGCUGUGGCGCCGUAUAGACAAUGUGGACGCUCGUGGGUCAAUAAGGCUGCAGCAAACUACGGCCAAGAGUAAAUCUUUACAAGGAUGAUUAGAAAGGAAAAAUGAGUUAUAAUCUGAUUAUUCUGUUCCAAGUCAUGUGACUGAUAGUUUAUGUUUUCUUCAUACGUGUGCGUUUUGUGUGCAUGGGUGAUUAUGGCCUUACAAUAAAAAAGAGAGAAUUUACAAUCGA